GUCCCGGUGGCUCAGUGGUAGAGCUCCUGUAUAUGGUGAGCGAAAGCCCUAGCGAUAACUGUAGAAGGUCGAAGGUUCGAAUCCUGCUCGGUGGCU
rnacentral:tRNA from 1 species